GGCUUUGUGCUGACUGCAUGGAGCCUGGUUGGAUUCUCUCUCUUCUGCUUCUCCCCUAUUCAUGCUCGCUCUCUCGCUCUCUCUCAAAAUAAACUUAAAAAUUACACUCAGGUUAGGUUACAGCUUUGAUUUUAUUCAAACAUCCAUGCCUUUCAGGUCAUUCUUCUAAACUUAUUGAAGACACCUUCUUAAGUACUAUAAACUGAGAAGCUAAAAUGCUUUCUUUUCCUCUGUAUCCCCACCUAAAAAAAUCUAUGGGGAAAAGGAUCCCAGUAUUGGACAUUCUCUAUAUUUCAAUCAGCCUAUGCCAGCCCACAUGUUUACAUAUCGAUCUACUUGUUAUUCCCUGGUAGUGAACUUCUGCCUAUGAGUUUCACUGUGUGUACUAAGCAAAUUCACCCAGGUGUGGAAAUCAGAUGACCUCUUCUCUUCCUGGAAUUGUGGUUCUUACAGCCCUCUCUGAUUCCACAAAUCUCUGAAUUUGGAACAAUAUAACUUUUAUUUGAAUCUUUAAUUUCCUCUUGUGUGUCUUGUCUCUCUACUCACACAUCUUACCUGGAAGCAGAAGCCUCAAUAUUUUGCUUAAACAAAGUGAAACUAGCAUUGUGGCAUCAGGCCUGUGAAACUUACUGGGGCCGUGGUGAAGGGAAGGCCAGAUCCUGACCAGUGAAAAACUAGAAUCCAGGAUCUGAAUGGUUCAGAGCUGGGGAAACCUGUGUGCACUUGUGAUGGGGGCUGUGAGUGGGAGGGUUGUUGAGUUUGGACACAACGUUGGGGACUGAGUUAUGAAGAUAUGUGGUGGAAACCCUAUAGGUUGGGGGAUCAAAGAUCCUAAACUCUCCACCAGGGGAAAGGACCAAGGCCACUUUGAGGCAACAAUCCCAAGGUGAAAAUGUGAGGUGAUAUGUGUUAGAGGAAGGAGGGGGAGGUACAGAAACACCUGAGAGUAGGCAGAUGAGGCAUGGACUGCUGACACUGGCCAUUUGUUUCUCAAGGCCCAGCACCACCUGACCCAAGUCUCACAGUCCCUGCCCCUUCCUGGGUGAGGAGGGAUCUUUGGCCACACCCCUCUUUGACCAACACCACCUGCCCUACAGUUUCCUGCUGAGCUAGAAGCAGAUUUCCUGGAGCAAAGGUGCCACUCUAGUGGGGUGGACCAGGUGCUCCUGUCUUUGAGAUUCAAAUCCUGCAUCCAUUGGCCCCCUCCCCACCCAUUCUCCACAUCUGGUUGCAGGGGUCCCUGCAGACAUCACAGUCCAUGUACCUGUCCAUACCAUCAUCAGAGAGGCCCACAUCAUCCUGAGAGGCUCAGGAUACUGGUCAUUCUGCUGCCAGAACACUGAUUGGACAAUCAUCCAUGGAUGAGAGGGCCUGUGUGGAAAUCCAGGAGUCCAGCGGAGAAGCUCCAGCACACUGUUGGAGCAAGAAAAAAGAAGACUGGAUGCAUUAAAAAGGACAAGAGCCCAAAGUUUCACUUUAUCACCCUUCCCCAGGAUGGCACAUCUCAGUGGCCAAGAGGCCAUCCUGGCCCAUGUCUUCUCCCAUGGGGGAAAGGGACAGCAUGUGAGUGACAUGCUCCUCUAGCUGUGUGAGAUGCUGCCAAAGAAACCCAGUUCUUUCUACAGUACUGGGAUGUGCUGCAUGACUUGGAACUGGGAAGCACCUGUGAGAAGAGCACAUGGAGCUCUUUGAGGACCUCAAAGAGGUGUGGACCCUACUAACUCCAUAGCAGACUCUAUCAGGAAGCAUGUCCAUAAGCUGCCAGGGACACUGCACUUCCAGACACCCCAGUUGAUAUAAGAGUUCCCCCCAGUGCUCAGUACACAUCUCCAAACCAUGUGGUUAACUACCUUGAGUGCACUCCCAACUGUGUCCAGAGUGAGCACUUGCAGAUAACUAGUGAGCAAGCAGACAAGACUGGCCCAACUCUAUGGGGUUGUGAGUCAACACAAAACUGAAGCAUUUAGCACCAUACUAGGGAAAGCAACAGGGAGGCUCUCUGCACGUGACCUGGCUUUGCAGUAUCAAGAGAAGGCAUACAAUCAGGAAUUCCACCCCCGCUCCCACAACAGGGGACAAGAAAUGCAGUGCAGGACUAUACACAGAAAAGGUAUGAGAAAGGAUAUAGCAAAUACAAGAUGUAAAAGAACAUAAAAAAUGAAGGAAACAUGAAACUCCCAAAGUCACACAAUAGUUUUCCAGCAACGACCACAAAGAAAUGGAAAUGUGCAAGUUUCCCAUUAGAAGACUUCAAAACAGUUGUUUGAAGGAAUCUCAGUGAGCUACAAGAAAACACAGAACAAUUCAACAGAAUGAAGAAAUCAGUACAUGAACAAAUUGGGAAGUUAAAGUGAUAGAAAUUUUAAGAACUAAACAAACGUUGGAGAAGAAUACAAUAAACGAAAUAAAAAAUGCAAUGGGGUACAGCAAUAACAGACUGGAUCAAGCAAAAGAAAGAAUCUGUGAGUAGAAGAGAGGUCAUUUGAAAUCACCCAAUGAGAGGAGACCAAACAAAAAUAAUGAAAAAGAGUAAAGAAAGAAUAUAUUAACACAGGGUACCAUUAAGACUUUAUGUAAGUCCCACAGUAAGAGUUGGAGAAAGUGGCACACAGCUUAUUUAAGAAAAUAAUGACAGGGAAUUUCCCAAAUCUAGGGAGAGAAUAGGACAUCCAAGUUCAUGAAGCUCAUAAAUCCCUAAAAAAAAAAAAAAAUCUAACCAAAGAAAUUUCUAAGACCUCC